GAUGAACGCUGGCGGCGUGCCUAAUACAUGCAAGUCGAGCGAACGGACGAGAAGCUUGCUUCUCUGAUGUUAGCGGCGGACGGGUGAGUAACACGUGGAUAACCUACCUAUAAGACUGGGAUAACUUCGGGAAACCGGAGCUAAUACCGGAUAAUAUUUUGAACCGCAUGGUUCAAAAGUGAAAGACGGUCUUGCUGUCACUUAUAGAUGGAUCCGCGCUGCAUUAGCUAGUUGGUAAGGUAACGGCUUACCAAGGCAACGAUGCAUAGCCGACCUGAGAGGGUGAUCGGCCACACUGGAACUGAGACACGGUCCAGACUCCUACGGGAGGCAGCAGUAGGGAAUCUUCCGCAAUGGGCGAAAGCCUGACGGAGCAACGCCGCGUGAGUGAUGAAGGUCUUCGGAUCGUAAAACUCUGUUAUUAGGGAAGAACAUAUGUGUAAGUAACUGUGCACAUCUUGACGGUACCUAAUCAGAAAGCCACGGCUAACUACGUGCCAGCAGCCGCGGUAAUACGUAGGUGGCAAGCGUUAUCCGGAAUUAUUGGGCGUAAAGCGCGCGUAGGCGGUUUUUUAGUCUGAUGUGAAAGCCCACGGCUCAAUCGUGGAGGGUCAUUGGAAACUGGAAAACUUGAGUGCAGAAGAGGAAAGUGGAAUUCCAUGUGUAGCGGUGAAAUGCGCAGAGAUAUGGAGGAACACCAGUGGCGAAGGCGACUUUCUGGUCUGUAACUGACGCUGAUGUGCGAAAGCGUGGGGAUCAAACAGGAUUAGAUACCCUGGUAGUCCACGCCGUAAACGAUGAGUGCUAAGUGUUAGGGGGUUUCCGCCCCUUAGUGCUGCAGCUAACGCAUUAAGCACUCCGCCUGGGGAGUACGACCGCAAGGUUGAAACUCAAAGGAAUUGACGGGGACCCGCACAAGCGGUGGAGCAUGUGGUUUAAUUCGAAGCAACGCGAAGAACCUUACCAAAUCUUGACAUCCUUUGACAACUCUAGAGAUAGAGCUUUCCCCUUCGGGGGACAAAGUGACAGGUGGUGCAUGGUUGUCGUCAGCUCGUGUCGUGAGAUGUUGGGUUAAGUCCCGCAACGAGCGCAACCCUUAAGCUUAGUUGCCAUCAUUAAGUUGGGCACUCUAAGUUGACUGCUGGUGACAAACCGGAGGAAGGUGGGGAUGACGUCAAAUCAUCAUGCCCCUUAUGAUUUGGGCUACACACGUGCUACAAUGGACAAUACAAAGGGCAGCGAAACCGCGAGGUCAAGCAAAUCCCAUAAAGUUGUUCUCAGUUCGGAUUGUAGUCUGCAACUCGACUACAUGAAGCUGGAAUCGCUAGUAAUCGUAGAUCAGCAUGCUACGGUGAAUACGUUCCCGGGUCU
rnacentral:rRNA from 1 species